GUGGCCAAUUCUGCAGGCACCAGAACUGGCUGUCAAGAAAACAGGCGUACACUCUUCUGUGUCCCACAGACCUCGGGAAGGGACUCUUCAGCUGCAGCGACCCAGGCCCUGGACUUGUCGCCAUCGGCAGGAUCUUCAGCCAGCUCCUCCGACAGGUCUGGAAUCAGGGAGGUUUGGUUUCGCUGGAAGAUGAACAGCUCCUCUUCCCCAUAGUCCGACUGCGGACAAAUGAAAGGGCUUUUGGAGGACAAGGCAGCAGGCAGAGCCCUGAGGGCCUAGCCACCCCCGCUCUCCACUCUCCACUCUCACUUCCAGCCCAGCCCGCCCAGCCCGUCCAGCCCAUCCAGCCCUGCUGCUCAGGAGCCUGGGGGAGAUCUGGUUCUCUCCCAGUCAGCCUUGCCGUGCGCGGCUUCUUGCCACCGUUUAGAAAUCGGCUUGGCAGCACAACCUCGUGGAGGUGAGACUGGGGAUCCUGGUUCUGCAAGUACCUCGCAUACAGCAAGUGCUUCAUUAAUGCCUUGUGUGACAUGAACAGGGCAGUGAGGUGGUAGCUGAAAGAGCAGGGUCCAGCCCUCCCCAUCCCCUGUGACCUUGAGCCAUCACUUACACAGCUUAGUUUGUCUUCCUGAAG
rnacentral:lncRNA from 1 species